UUGUCCUAGUGCUAGGACACCUGGGUGACCAAGGCGGCAGGGAGUGGGGAAUUGGCAAAGAGAUGGGAGGAAGUUUUCAGUCAGCCUUGCGUCCAGCUUGUUAAGGCAGCCGUGCUCUGGCGGUCCAGAUUUGCAGGAGGCAUGAUUAGAGCAAAAGCAUGAACCAGCCCAUCGCUGCAGCAGACUACACAGCAGGACAAAUGCCUGUCUGAUUGCACCUUUUUUGUGUUAUUUUGGUUGGGUUGUCUUACAAAGACAUCCACAGCUACUGAAUCAUGUACUUAUGGGGUGCCAAGUUGCAACUGACCUGUUGAAACCCUAAUAGUAGUUUCAAGAUCAUUGUGGUCCUCACUCCCUUUAUCCAUCAUACAGAGCCCUUUCCUUUUGUAUAUUGUGAGAAAAUCAGUGAGACCCUGGAGGACAAGGCUAAAUGUACAACUGUUCCCUUCCUUGUGCUUACUGUAUUAAAAUAAGU